AACAGCUGUUCCUUGUACUUCUUGCUGUCAUCCCUUCUCUAAACGUGUCUAGCUCAGGAGGAUUGAACUGCAGCGAGCUCCUGUCAGGGCUGAAGGGCUGGCUGACUUCCAGGAUGGUCUCGUUGGUAAACUUGUUGGACCAUUACAUGCUGAUUAUGGGUUAUUGAUGAUGCCCGUGAAGCUGCUUAGGAGGCCAGCUGGAGCAUCUCGGAACUGCCAAAGCCCAGCAUCUGGUUAGCAUCCUGCACACCCCCUGAGCUUCUUGCACCAUGUGAUCGUUUCCCAUGAAGAGUCUGAUCGACUGCAGGUCCCUGGGACUCUGGAGGAAUCCCUCCUGAACCGUGAUUGCAUAUGAAGAGCUGAGCUUGAUUGCACUAUUAUGGGUUCCGACAUGAGUAUGCUGGCAGUCUCAGUAAAACUUGAGCUAUUAAAGGCCUUCAAUCAGUCAGACGGAUGGAGCGGCGGUAAUGGCAAACUCAGCAAGCAAUUACAUCAAAGGAUUUAAAAUCUAUUUCAGUAAUGCCUUCUGGAUAAUGACAUUGAUCUCUGCACUCCCCCGCAGAUUCCCUGGCUUGCUGAUCAGGGUUCUGCAGGCCCUGACGUUUGGAGAGGCACCGCUCACCGCUGCUUUUUAUGUGGACAUAGUUCAGUUCUCCUGCAUCUACCUACACAGCUAUUUCUGUAAAGCUAAUAGACCUUUAUCCGCCAAGCCACGUGUCAUGCUAUAUACACAAUCCUUUCUUCGUUCUCUUCUGUCACUCCGACUUUGACAAAAUAGUGACGUCGUGAGAUGACUGUACUGCCUUUUACACUCGUUACUUUGCCCUAAAGAAAAUAAUAUGGAUGAGAUGUUAACCAGUUGAUGUAUAUUUUAACUGUCUCUUUCUAUUUUAACAUUUACCCAAUUUACUUAAAAUUAAGACAUAAUAUACCUAAAUGAAAUUAUUGCAGAUAAAGUUGUCUUAAAUUAAAAGAAUAUGUAAUUUUAA